rnacentral:rRNA from 1 species
UACGAACGCUGGCGGCGUGCCUAACACAUGCAAGUCGAACGGAGAUACGAUUUCGGUUGUAUCUCAGUGGCGAACGGGUGAGUAACGCGUGAGCAACCUGACUCUUAGAGGGGGAUAACACUGGGAAACGAGUGCUAAUACCGCAUAAGACCACGACAUGGCAUCAUGACGAGGUCAAAGGAGCAAUCCGCUGAGAGAGGGGCUCGCGUCCCAUUAGAUAGAUGGCGGGGUAACGGCCCACCAUGUCAACGAUGGGUAGCCGAGCUGAGAGGCUGAUCGGCCACACUGGAACUGAGACACGGUCCAGACUCCUACGGGAGGCAGCAGUGGGGAAUAUUGGGCAAUGGGCGCAAGCCUGACCCAGCAACGCCGCGUGAGGGAAGAAGGCUUUCGGGUUGUAAACCUCUGUCCUUGGUGACGAAAAAAAUGACGGUAGCCAAGGAGGAAGCCCCGGCUAACUACGUGCCAGCCGCCGCUGUAA